rnacentral:lncRNA from 1 species
UGUACCUUGAAACGCCGCAAAAUCUAUUGUUUUUUUUAUUCAGUUUCUAUAUUUUGUUAAAAAUUUGAUCAAAUCCGGUCAAUUAAUUAAUUAUUUUAAUUUAAUGUACUAAAAAAUAAUUAAAAUUAAUAAAUUUGUAUUGAUAAAUUUGGUAAAUUUUUUAAUUUUUUACUAAAAUUAGUUAAUUUUAAAAACUUUUUAGAAU